rnacentral:rRNA from 1 species
AUUGAACGCUGGCGGCAGGCCUAACACAUGCAAGUCGAACGAGUGGCGGACGGGUGAGUAAUGUCUGGGAAACUGCCCGAUGGAGGGGGAUAACUACUGGAAACGGUAGCUAAUACCUCAUACCAUCGGAUGUGCCCCGGUGGGAUUAGCUAGUAGGUGGGGUAACGGCUCACCUAGUCGACGAGCCCUAGCUGGUCUGAGAGGAUGACCAGCCACACUGGAGCUGAGAAACGGUCCAGACUCCUACGGGAGGCAGCAGUGGGGAAUCUUGCACAAUGGGCGCAAGCCUGAUGCAGCCAUGCCGCGUGUAUGAAGAAGGCCUUCGGGUUGUAAAGGACUUUCAGCGGGGAGGCGUUACUCGCAGAAGAAGCACCGGCUAACUCCGUGCCAGCAGCCGCGGUAAUAC